rnacentral:rRNA from 1 species
GAUGAACGCUGGCGGUAUGCUUAACACAUGCAAGUCGAACGGUCACUUCGGUGAUAGUGGCAGACGGGUGAGUAACGCGUGAGAAUCUGUCUUCAGGUCGGGGACAACAGUUAGAAAUGACUGCUAAUACCGGAUGUGCCUUUGGGUGAAAGAUUUAUUGCCUGAAAAAGAGCUCGCGUCAGAUUAGCUAGUAGGUGGUGUAAGAGACUACCUAGGCUCCGAUCUGUAGCUGGUCUGAGAGGACGAUCAGCCACACUGGAACUGAGACACGGUCCAGACUCCUACGGGAGGCAGCAGUGGGGAAUUUUCCGAAAUGGGCGAAAGCCUGACGGAGCAAUACCGCGUGAGGGACGAAGGCUUUUGGGUCGUAAACCUCUUUUCUCAAGGAAGAUGAUGACGGUACUUGAGGAAUAAGCAUCGGCUAACUCUGUG